GACGAACGCUGGCGGCGUGCCUAAUACAUGCAAGUCGAACGCAGUGGGGACGGGUGAGUAACACGUGGGUAACCUCCCAUCAGAGGGGAUAACACGUGGAAACAGGUGCUAAACCGAUACUGAUUGAUGGAACCGCGGUGCAUUAGCCCGUUGGUGGGGUAACGGCUCACCAAGGCCACGAUGCAUACCCGCCCUUAGAGGGUGACCUGCCACACUGGUACUUGGACACGGCCCUGACUCCUACGGGAGGCAGCAGUAGGGAAUCUUCGGCAAUGGACGAAAGUCUGACCGAGCAACGCCGCGUGAGUGAAGAAGGUUUUCGGAUCGUAAAACUCUGUUGUUAGAGAAGCGGUAUCUAACCAGAAAGCCACGGCUAACUACGUGCCAGCAGCCGCGGUAAUUC
rnacentral:rRNA from 1 species